rnacentral:rRNA from 1 species
GUUUGUAAGUCGAUUUGCCAUGCUAGUUGUACGAGUUGAGACUCGUAGCAGAUAGCUCAGUAACACGUGGCCAAACUACCCUAUCGAGCACGAUACUCUCGGGAAACUGAGGCUAAUAGUGCAUACGACUCGGUGUCUGGAGUGACCCGAGUCAGAAACGCUCAGGCGCGAUAGGAUGUGGCUGCGGCCGAUUAGGUAGACGGUGGGGUAACGGCCCACCGUGCCAAUAAUCGGUACGGGUUGUGAGAGCAAGAGCCCGGAGACGGUAUCUGAGACAAGAUACCGGGCCCUACGGGGCGCAGCAGGCGCGAAACCUUUACACUGCACGCGAGUGCGAUAAGGGGACUCCAAGUGCGAGGGCAUAUAGUCCUCGCUUUUCGUGACCGUAGGAUGGUCACAGAAUAAGUGCUGGGCAAGACCGGUGCCAGCCGCCGCGGUAAUACCGGCAGCACGAGUGAUGACCGCUAUUAUUGGGCCUAAAGCGUCCGUAGCUGGCCACGCAAGUCCAUCGGGAAAUCUCUCCGCUCAACGGAGAGGCGUCCGGUGGAAACUGUGUGGCUUGGGACCGGAAGAUCCAGAGGGUACGUCUGGGGUAGGAGUGAAAUCCCGUAAUCCGAGACGGACCACCGGUGGCGAAAGCGCUCUGGAAAGACGGAUCCG